AUUGAACGCUGGCGGCAGGCCUAACACAUGCAAGUCGAACGAGUGGCGGACGGGUGAGUAAUGGCUGGGAACCUGCCCGAGGGAGGGGGCUAACUACUGGAAAACGUAGCUAAUACCGCAUACCAUCGGAUGUGCCCAGAUGGGAUUAGCUAGUGGGUGGGGUAACGGCUCACCUAGGCGACGAUCCCUAGCUGGUCUGAGAGGAUGACCGGCCACACUGGAACUGAGACACGGUCCAGACGCCGACGGGAGGCAGCAGUGGGGAAUAUUGCAAAAUGGGCGCAAGCCUGAUGCAGCCAUGCCGCGUGUAUGAAGAAGGCCUUCGGGUUGUAAAGUACUUUCAGCGGUGAGGCGGUACUCGCAGAAGAAGCACCGGCUAACUCCGUGCCAGCCGCCGCGGUAAUAC
rnacentral:rRNA from 1 species